UACAGAGGGUGCGAGCGUUAAUCGGAAUUACUGGGCGUAAAGCGUGCGUAGACGGUUUCGUAAGUCGGGUGUGGAAUCCCCGGGCUCAACCUGGGAAUUGCAUUCGAAACUGCGAGGCUAGGGUACGGAAGAGGGAAGCGGAAUUUCUGGUGUAGCGGUGAAAUGCGUAGAUAUCAGAAGGAACAUCAGUGGCGAAAGCGGCUUCCUGGUCCAGUACCGACGUUCAGGCACGAAAGCGUGGGGAGCAAACAGG
rnacentral:rRNA from 1 species